AGAAUCUUUCGCAAUGCCCGAAAGGGUGACGAAGCGACGCCGCGUGUGGGAAGAAGGCCUUCGGGUUGUAAACCACUGUCGGGAGUUAAGAAAUGUAAGGAUGUUAAUAGCGUCCUUACUUGACUAAGGCUCCGGAGGAAGCCACGGCUAACUCUGUGCCAGCAGCCGCGGUAAUACAGAGGCGGCAAGCGUUGUUCGGAAUUAUUGGGCGUAAAGAGCACGUAGGCGGCCUUGMAAGUCAGYUGUGAAAGCCUUCUGCUUAACGGAAGAACAGCAUCUGAUACUACAGGGCUUGAGUGCGGGAGGGGAGAGUGGAACUUCUGGUGGAGCGGUGAAAUGCGUAGAUAUCAGAAGGAACGCCGGCGGCGAAAGCGGCUCUCUGGCCCGUAACUGACGCUGAGUGUGCGAAAGCUAGGGGAUCAAACGGGAUUAGAUACCCCGGUAGUCCUAGCCGUAAACGAUGGGCACUAAGUAGAGGGGUUUUGAUUAUCUCUCUGCCGGAGCUAACGCAUUAAGUGCCCCGCCUGGGAAGUACGGCCGCAAGGCUAAAACUCAAAAGAAUUGACGGGGGCUCGCACAAGCGGUGGAGCAUGUGGCUUAAUUCGAUGCAACGCGAAGAACCUUACCGGGGUUUGACAUGGUAGAAGUAGAAACCUGAAAGGGUGACGAACGGUAUCCAGUCCGUAACUAUCACAGGUGUUGCAUGGCUG
rnacentral:rRNA from 1 species